GCUGGCGGCGGGCGAGUAAUGCGUUCCUACAUACCCUCAGGUCAGGGAUAGUCCAGGGAAACUUGGCUUAAUACUGAUGUGGUCUCCGGAUCAAAGGCUUCGGCCGCCAGAGGAGUGGGGAACGUCCUAUCAGGUUGUUGGUGAGGUAAAGGCUCACCAAGCCGUUGACGGGUAGCGGGUGUGAGAGCAUGACCCGCCGCAUCGGGACUGAGACACUGCCCGGACUCCUACGGGAGGCUGCAGUAACGAAUCUUCCGCAAUGCGCGAAAGCGUGACGGAGCAAUGCCGCGUGCAGGAUGAAGCUUUUCGGAGUGUAAACUGCUGUCAGGGUUUAGCAACACAAUGAGCAGACCCAAAGGAAGGGCCGGCUAACUUCGUGCCAGCAGCCGCGGUAAUACGAAGGGCCCGAGCGUUGCGCGGAAUCACUGGGCUUAAAGCGUACGCAGGUGGGCACAAAGGCGUCUUGUGAAAGCCCUCGGCUCAACCGAGGAAUUGCUCGGCGAACCAUGUGUCUUGAGGCAGGUAGGGGUUGUCGGAACGAUAGGUGGAGUGGUGAAAUGCGUUGAUAUCUAUCGGAACGCCAAAGGAGAAAUCAGGCAACUGGGCCUGUCCUGACACUGAGGUACGAAAGCGUGGGGAGCGAACGGGAUUAGAUACCCCGGUAGUCCACGCCGUA
rnacentral:rRNA from 1 species